CUCAGAAUCAACGCUGGCGGUGUGCCUCAGACAUGCAAGUCGAACGAUUAAACUUUCCUUCGGGAAAGAUAUAAAGUGGCGCACGGGUGAGUAACACGUAAGUAAUCUACCUUCGAGUGGGGAAUAACCCGGGGAAACCCGAGCUAAUACCGCAUAAUGCAGCGGCAUCGCAAGAUGACAGUUGUUAAAGAUUUAUCGCUUGAAGAGGAGCUUGCGGCAGAUUAGCUAGUUGGUAAGGUAAUGGCUUACCAAGGCUACGAUCUGUAACCGGUCUAAGAGGACGGUCGGUCACACUGACACUGAAUAACGGGUCAGACUCCUACGGGAGGCAGCAGUCGGGAAUUUUGGGCAAUGGGCGAAAGCCUGACCCAGCAACGCCGCGUGAAGGAUGAAGUAUUUCGGUAUGUAAACUUCGAAAGAAUAGGAAGAAUCAAUGACGGUACUAUUUAUAAGGUCCGGCUAACUACGUGCCAGCAGCCGCGGUAAUACGUAGGGACCAAGCGUUGUUCGGAUUUACUGGGCGUAAAGGGCGCGUAGGCGGCAAUUCAAGUCAUCUGUGAAAUCUCCGGGCUUAACUCGGAACGGUCAGAUGAUACUGCUUUGCUAGAGUGCAGAAGGGGCAAUCGGAAUCUUGGUGUAGCGGUGAAAUGCGUAGAUAUCAAGAGGAACACCUGAGGUGAAGACGGGUUGCUGGGCUGACACUGACGCUGAGGCGCGAAAGCCAGGGGAGCAAACGGGAUUAGAUACCCCGGUAAUCUGGCUAAACGAUGAAUACUUGGUGUCUGGAGC
rnacentral:rRNA from 1 species